CGUGUAGGCGGUCCGGUAAGUCCGCUGUGAAAGUCGGGGGCUCAACCCUCGGAUGCCGGUGGAUACUGUCGGGCUUGAGUACGGAAGAGGCGAGUGGAAUUCCUGGUGUAGCGGUGAAAUGCGCAGAUAUCAGGAGGAACACCAAUUGCGAAGGCAGCUCGCUGGGACGUUACUGACGCUGAGACGCGAAAGCGUGGGAGCAAACA
rnacentral:rRNA from 1 species